AACUCAGAAGCCUGAUGGUCUACCACUGUGCUACAUUUCUAGCCCUAACCUCUCUCUAAAGAACAGCUGUUGAAUGAACGGGAACAAGAGGGUCCCCCCCUUUCUGAGACAGGAUAAAGGCCUGCCCAGCCAGACUUCCCAAGUUGGUGUGGACUUCUUGGAGCCGUGUAUUGGCAACCAGGAUCUCACUCUGUACUUCAGAUUGGCCUUAGCCCAGCUGACCUCAAACUCAU